rnacentral:rRNA from 1 species
UGGGGAAUAUUGGACAAUGGGGGGAACCCUGAUCCAGCCAUGCCGCGUGUGUGAAGAAGGCCUUAUGGUUGUAAAGCACUUUAAGCGAGGAGGAGGGUACUGGUAUUAAUACUACCAGGUACUGGACGUUACUCGCAGAAUAAGCACCGGCUAACUCUGUGCCAGCAGCCGCGGUAAUACAGAGGGUGCGAGCGUUAAUCGGAUUUACUGGGCGUAAAGCGUGCGUAGGCGGCUAAUUGAGUCGGAUGUGAAAUCCCCGAGCUUAACUUGGGAAUUGCAUUCGCUACUGGUUAGCUAGAGUGUGGGAGAGGAUGGUAGAAUUCCAGGUGUAGCGGUGAAAUGCGUAGAGAUCUGGAGGAAUACCGAUGGCGAAGGCAGCCAUCUGGCCUGACACUGACGCUGAGGUACGAAAGCAUGGGGAGCAAACAGG